rnacentral:tRNA from 1 species
GAGGGUAUAGCUCAGUGGUAGAGUGUGUGCUUAGCAUGUCCUGGGUUCAAUCCCCAGUACCUCCA